AAAAUGAGACAUUGCAUAAAAAACAAAAAGCCAUGAUUCUCAGCACCCACCUCUACGCUUAUCAGGAAUUUUGCAGAGAAAAUAAUCUCUUUCUAAAAUGCCAACAUGUUAGAACUGCAGUUUCUAGCAGACCUACUUCCAGGA